ensembl:lncRNA
AGGAGAGCAAAGACCAUUGCUCUGCAGUCAGCCUCCACAUAAUCCCUGAGGGUGGAUCCAUCUCUUCUGCCAUAGGCGUUCAAGAUUGCUGGACUGAAAAACAACAAUAAUAAAAAAUCCACACUUGAUCCAUAAGUCAAGGACCCUGGUCCUGUUCUAUUGUCAACUAAAUGGAGCAGAAAAUAUCAAUGGAGAAGCAAUGUCCAAUCUUCAAGGAACCCUUUGUUUCAUCAAGUAGGUAAUGACAAUCUUCCUUACUCACAAUUCUGUAAGAACAAAGACAUCAUGACAGUUACCUUCAUAUAAAAUAAUCUGAACAAAUUCAGUAGUAGAAAAAGAAGUGAAGAGAAAAUGCUGAUGUGCCCUUACAGAGUAUUUGCACAGUUUAGUCUGAGGACCUCUGGCUCUGUGACUCUGUUUUUCUUCCUAGUUAUUCUGCCUUUAUCUCCCCUUGAGAAUGACCCAGUUUACCUUGUCACAGGAUAAAGCUUGGUUUUGGCAAUCAGUGCAAGUCAUUGCUAUUCAGAAUUGCUGUAGCAGCUGCCUUGCCUGCACCUGCUCAGUGAGAGGGUUCCCGGUCAAGUUCAGAAAUAAGCCAGCUUCAUUUGCGGGAUGCUGGGUUGAAGUCAGACUUCAGAAGCCCAGCUUUGUGCAGCCUCCUGGGAUUCCACUGGGCUUGAAUCGCCUGUGACCUCUGUGCCCUUAGAACAUCACAGAAAACACCAUCUCUGUGCCCACUAAUUGGUCACCUUGAUGUCACUCACAGCACGAAGAUCAAGGACAGAGUGGAUCCUGCAAAGUGAACUACAUACACUCUCAGGGGUGGUCUCUAUAGGUCAGGUUUCCCUCCUGUAGGUAGCACAGCAUGGGGCCUUCUUACCCAGGGACUGCGUGAAACCUGUCUGUGGUGCACAUGAACAAAGGACUGCUGGACCCACAGGUGACCUGCUCUGGCCACCCACGAAGGCCAAAUUGUCAGCCUUUCACAACUAUUAUGCCUCCAUUAUCCAAGUAAAACACUAAGUACUUAGUGUAGAAUCUCUACAAAACAGGACUUUAAAAUUAGUUCAUGAUACUGCUUUCAAAAAAUUAAGAUUAUUUCAUAUUUCAAGUUGCUGCUCAAUUCUGAAUGACCAGAGAUGUAGGCAAGGUACUCUGGAGAACCUUGCUGUCAUAAUAAGCCAGUUUCUUUUCAGAUUCCCAAAGUGCUGUCUCUGAAUAACUUACAUGGUUGAUAAAAGAACAGAGAAUACACUGAACACAUUUUGCAAUCAUUACCCUUGAAUUAAAAAUAAUUGUAAACUAUUAUUUACAUCCCUUUGAAUGAAUAUGAGAACUUAUUGGAACUUUUCUCAGUAUGGUGAGUCCCCUGCAAUAAGUUCCAUAGUCCAUGUGUGAGUAGGAGCCAGGUCAAGGGAGAGAUCAGCCAUUCCCUGGACAGAGAAAACCUUGCUGUUGUGAAACUCAGCACCCCAGAGGACCAAAGAGCAGUGGAAAAAUGAUUCUCAGUAGGAAUUAAGACACUGUAAAUACAUUGUCAACUCAAGGGACUAUAUAUGCAACUGAAUGUUCAUAUCAAUCAAUGUAGAUUUUUCUCAUUUAUUGAAGCCUUAUUCCCCUCUCUAGAUAAAGUUUGCGAAGCAAAGGGCAUAUUCUUUCUUUGAAAGUGAGAGGAUGCCUGGACAGAUUGUUCAGCUUAAUUUGCUUUGUUAUCAGAUUUAAACAUUGCGUUUAGCCUCUUGACUAAACAAUGGAGUAGAGCAGUACUAUUGGCUUUGCUGUAGAUACCACUGGUGACACAUGCACUCCUUGGCAAUGCUUUCAUUUUUGUGUGGGGAUUUGGAGGUAUUACUAGGACCUAAGAGCUGAGACAGUUGAUUUAAACAAGGAAAUAUCUGUUCAGGCUAAUAGUGUCAGAGGCUGCAGUUCAUGGUCAGGUGGCUCCAUUGGUUCUGGCCACAGUGAGUCUGAACAUCAUGGUGAGAAAUGUGUUAGGAUAGAAAUAAUUUCCUAAUGGUAUUGAUAGUUGAAAUCCUGAAAGUGAAAGCAAUAUCCAGGAACAAGAUACACAGUUGUUAUAUCCCUUGUUACCCACUUCAUCCAUGUAGAUCCCAUUUCCUAGGCCAUUCAGCUAUGAACUCACCAACAUUGGUAGUUCACUAGUAAAGCUACUCCAUGAAUUAGUGGCCUCUCCAAUUAAUCUGUUACCUGCUAGGAAUUAAAUCUUUCAAAUAUGAGCCCUUUGAGGAGUAGGGCAUUUCAUAUUUAAGUUGCAACAUGCCCACUCGAAACUGGUUACAGCCACUUGCAUUUUUACUGGGGCUGGUGUAUAUUUUUUAAUGAGUAAUAGGUUCACAUCGGAGGUCAAGAUAUCCACUCUUAAAUCAUGUUAACAGACAGUCAACUUCUCAACAUACUUCAUAUAAAGAGAUGGAAUCUUGGUGUGGUAAGCACAGAUAACCAGCCACUAUAGCUCUUCAGCUAUUUUUCCACUAGUCACCCUUCCCUAUACCUCAAACAAUUGGUUUCUUCAUCUUCUAAAUGUCCCUAAGCUCUGCCCUAUGGGGGCAGUUUGUAAUUUGGAGCCACUCCCCUCCACCCUGCCUCCACUUCCAAGAGACCACCCUUUGCAAAAUAUUCACUUCAUAGGUUUGUAACCUGGGAAUUGACAAAACAUCUCAGUACAAUCACAACAAAGAUUUUUUAAUGUACUCUUUUCCAUGAAAAUCUUGAAGGGAAUGGUGUUUGGUUAUAGCAGCAAGAUGAUCCCUAAAGGAAAAUAAAUGGGGAUGAUGUGUUAAUACAAAAGAGGACAAAAAAUAGAGAUGAUUGUUGAUGUUAAGAAGCAGACUAUGUAUUAACUUUUCUGCAUUCUUCAUAUUCUCCCUGCUGUGGCCAAUUAUCAAUGCUCCUGAAUAUUUCAGGUGUAGUAUAACUCAACCAUGUGCAGAAGGAACAAUGCAGGAAUCCUGUGCCCAUAUUUGUCAACUUGAUGCUUCAAAGAGUCACAGGCUUUGCAUUAUUUGAUGUCCUAGCUAAUUCAGACUGUCUGGGAGUGAGAUGGCAUGCAACAAGUUAGAAGUUUCAGUCUCCACAUCUGGGAGAUGAAGCAUGCUAACUUUCUUAACUAAUUACUCUUUAUAAAGACAUUUUUCCUCUACCAUUUUGAGAUAAAAUAUUCAAUAUGAGGUCUGGAAAAGGGAAAAAAGAGACAGUGAGAAUUGUUUUGCAAUAUGACUCCAUUAGGUGAGGGAUCUGGUUCUCAACUUUAAUAAAAGCUCAGCUAACUUGCAAGCACUGUGGGAAUGAAAUAAAGGGGCCUGAGGGCUGAGUCCUUGCUUCUCAUGCAAGAGGACUAUUGAGGGCUCAUCUUCUCAAAUGUGAACUCCGCUGGGUAAUCAGUCAUCCCCAUGGAAACUCAGCAACAUUUAAUUGUCUUUAAUUAAGGGGCCACAGAGGCAAUCAGCUACAUUCCCAGCACAUUAAUGAGGGAAGCGUGAAGUGCAAAAUGGCUACCUGAGGUGACUCACAUAAGCUGAGAGUCCUGAAUGAAUUUCUAAAGGGAAAUCCAUAAGGACAAGAAUUAGAAAUUGGGUAGUUUAGGGUGGUAUAUGAGAAAUAAGUAGUAUCACCAGUAAGAUUGCCUUGGCUAAAUUACCAAAGCAAAGAGGACAUAAUAUAAAUCUGUGAUAUUGAAAGAUCAAAAAAUGAAGAUAAACUGAGCCAGUAAAAUAAAACUAAGGAGUGGGCUAUUUGGAGGAGGGAAAGGGAGCACUAGGAAACAUGAACAAGGAAGGAAGGAAGGAAGAUUAAGAACAGAAAGUAUAAAUGAAAUACAGGUGUAUAGUAAAAAGGGUAUAGUAAAAAGUCACAAUGAAGUCCAUGAAUUUGCACUCUUUACAAAGCAAACAAUACAACAUUGGGGAAAAGACCUACAUUAUCUGCCACCAGCCUGUAAGAAGACAGCUGUGUCCCUACAGUGGAAUUUAAACUCUGCUGCAAGCAGAUUUCUCUGGUCACCACAGUACGUAUUAAUCAUUUCCAUCUAUAAAACAGUAUUAUUCACUGCCUUCACAUUUGUUUACCUAAUUAUAAAUGAUUACAUGGAUUCUAGCUGGCAACCAGCUGACACAAGGAGACAAUGUAAGAGGCUUUCUGCAUUUCCUGAUUGGUUAUCAUCAUCCUUAUGACUUCUGAUACAACAAAAAGAUCUGAACUGUAAUUGAAAGAAUAUGGUACUGAAGCAUUUCUUGCUGCCCAAGGUAUUGAAUCUCCAAACAGACUCACUGUUCUCUCUAUGUUAGCACAAAGACUAAAGACAAACAAUGGUCAUCCACAGCCUCUCAGCCCUUCUGAACACAUGAUAGGCACUCAAAAACCCAUCAUGCCCUGAAUCAGAAAGUGGCAUUUCUGACUAAAGUAUGAGUUAGGGGACAUUGAGAAGGGGCUCAAUCACUUUGCUGAGCAAUGUAAAGAUCCAAGUUUGGAUCUGCAGUACAUACAUAAAAGUUGAGUGCAUUGGUCUGUACUUAUAAUCCCAUCCUGAAGGAGGUGGAGGCAGCUGAUACCAUUGUCCCACACUGUACAGACUGUCUACAUAAAAUGGCCAGCACCAGAUUCAAUGAAAGACUCUGUGUCAAAAAGCAGAUUGAGAAUUAAGGAUGAAGGCACCAACAUUCAACUCUGUCUGCCAGGUGUACACCCACUGGUGAUCACACACAGGCUCAUAUACACUCCUAAAGUUUUUGGUUUUAAAAUGGGGACAAACAAAAGAAUAUGUUCACCUAGGUGAUCAGAAUGUAAACAUGUGUCAUAGGCCACUUCUCUUCACUGACUGAUCCAUUAAACAAUUUACAUUAUGUUGCAUAAAAUUAUAUCCAGUUCAUUGCAGAGAAUAAGGAGUUAGACAUUUAGUGAAUAUUCUAGGCUUUGGAUACCAGAAUCCCUCAUGAAGACAUUUUCCCAUGUUGCUUGGAUAUUGUUCGUACAAGGAGAAUGCUGAUUGUGGCCAACACUUAUAUUUGUUAUUAGUGCAUAAGAGCCUUAAAUGAGAUAUCAUACCUACAAUUAAGUUAUUGGAUGUGGAGAAUGCUAGGAGGUGGUGUUUUCAAAGAGUUUAUGAGUUUGUUAGAGAUCACACAGAGCAACAUUAGAGAGGAGAAAAGCCUAAGAAAAUGCUUUGUGACUAACACAUUCAGAUGUGGCAAGCUCUGCUCGAGCUCCCUGACAGUACUUACAUGCAGAUAUUUGAGGCAUUUACUUACCUAUGUUUUUUAGCAGUAGAGGGGCAUAGAUGUUAUCAUUUGCAUUACAUCUGAUAUGAGUAAAGCUCAAUGUCUCCCAGGGAAAAUCUUCUUGAAAUAUCUUUCCUUGUUCCCAGUAAAAGUAGAGAUCUUAUAGUGAAAGUAUGGUCAAUGGGAUAGUUUGGAUCUUCCCCUUCUAGGAUUUGCCCUCCCUUUGCAAUCAUUUCCCAUACCCACUCUGUCAUUAGACCCCUCUCACUCUUAUUUUCAAGCUUCCCAUUUUUGUCUUUGCUCUUAUCUCUCUUCACAUGUUGGGAUACUUUCACAUCCUUCAUUCCUUCAUUACUUCCCAGCUCACACCAAACAUUGUCUGGAAGUCCUGAGUGAAUGUCUCUAGAUGAGACUUUUAGCUGAGAUGUAGGCAGCCAAUUUCAUUGUGUUGCUUUUUAACUCUGCGAGGUUAACUCAUUCGGUCAUCUAUCUCUUCUAGCAAUAGGGACUUUUGUUUGUUGUUGUUCACUUAUGUAUCCCAAGCUUUAAGAAGCAAUCUAGCACAAAACCAGGCUCAGGAAACAUUAAAAGAGACCUGAAGAUGAAGAAAGACUUGGACAACAUUGGGGGUGACCUGAGCACAGCUACAUAAUAACGGAAGUGGAACAAGGCACUGCAUUUCUGAGUGGUGUUCAAGGAAGAAAGUCCCUAUCAGAAGUAAGCAAGCAAAUCAAAACCAUCAUACUUAAACUUUUUGCUUUAAAACAAAAUUCUAACAAAUGGGCACAGUCCAUAACUGUUGAGAAUGGGUUUAUAAAAUUUAUUGUUCAUUCACCCAGUAUUUUUUACCAACCUGAUGCCCAGCAUGGCAGGAACUCUGUCACCUUCUUCAGAGAUUAGAUAAGGAAAUGCUUGAAUGCUGUGUGCAUUUGCACACAGUCCCACAGAAUCCAUGAAUGAUACUGGGGCUGGAAUUCUCUUCUCUAAGUCAAAGCUCCUCCUCUCCUUACUCAUUACUACAGCAGCCUGCCUUCUAAGUGUUUUGCCACUCAAACUCUGCACAACAACCUCUCAUUUCAACAAAUACUCAUCAGAAGGCUAGUUUUAAAUGCCAUCAGUUUUUUUUAUGUUUCUGAGAAGAGUUUGCAUUUGAGGGAUCCUUCAAGAACAGCUCUAGUGGCUGUGUUGCAUUACUGUUUCAAGUCCAAAAAUGACACCUUUGAAAUUCUCCUGAAGAUGAUGCUGGCUUUGGCCUAGAAGAGGAAUCGAUGUGAAAUGGAAACAAAGAAUUUUACAGCUUAAAGGGAAAUAGUUCUCAGUAUUAUUUGUCUUCCUGUCUCUAGCCCUUCACUAUUCUAUCAAGAAAGUUGUAUUCGUUCCUCUAUAAGUAAUAGCCCUCUUUUAAUUAAUUAAACAUUCAUUUAUUUUACAUCCAAACUGGUUUCCCCUCCCUCCUCUCCUCCCAUUCCUUCCCCCCAUCUCCACCUAACCACUCCAAUCCACCCCUCCUCUGUAUUUUGUUCAGAAAUAGCCACUUUUAUGCAUUGCAUAAAAUGUCAGCUUUCAGUUUCUCUCUGGGAUCAUUUGACAGAUUUUCAAGUUGUAUAGGAUGGUUGAACCUCUGCUAACCUAGGGGACUGGAGAAUGAAAAAGAAAGGAAAUACUGUAUCCCUUUUUAUCACCCAGACUAUUGUUUUGGUUUGUAGUGAAAUACAAUACAAGUUUAUAAUAAGGGCAACCAUAAUAGUUUUCUGUAGUCAGUACUAUCUGUUUUCUUAUUGUUCUCUAUGCUCAUUUCCUGUUAAUCUAAAAAAAGAAAUGUCUUUGAAAAGUUUGUAUUGUGUGUAUAGUACAAAAUAUGAAAGCACAAUUUUUUUCUACUCACUCAGUUAAUUAAACUGAAAUGGAGAUUCUGCCAUUUGCAGCCUUAAAAAAUAGCCAAUUGAAAUUUAAUUGGUAUCCCUUUUCCUUUCGUAUUCAUGCCCUGAAGCUAAAUUAAUGAUCAGGUAUAAGCACUCAGUGAAGGGGCCAUUAUGACUUUUCGAUGGAAUUAAACCUAAUACCAUAUAGUGUAUCCAACAGCUUCUCAGAUAAGGAAGACAGCCUUACAAAUAAUGAAGGGUUAACCAUGGCUCUGUGCCCUCUGCUCUCUUUAGUACACACACUCAACAAUUACAGAGAGACAGCCAGCUCCAGUGUAUUCUUUGAACAGUAGCUGUUGUAAAUCAAAUUAAUUACUUUUGCCCAAAACUCUCCUCCGUGGAUGAUUUUUGGCCACUGGACUGUUAAUAUGUCUUUUCUUAAUCACUGUCCUGUAAUGCCAUCCCCUGAUAAGUGAUGCAAUGGCAAUCUCCUAACCUUUCCCAAAGUCCCUACAAGACCCUGAUUUAUAAGAAGGCAGAGUUAUGUAUCACUCAGCCAAAGACAAGCAACUUCUCGAAUCCCCUUCUCUGCCUGGGGAGCAGAGCAGUAUCCAGAAAUGUUGAUACUGGAGGCAUCUUUGUAUGCCUCUCUGCUCAAAGCUCCUUGAGAAAGACACCUUUUGUCCAGGUAGCACGUAUCCUAGAAAGCACUGCAUCCACCAAGACUUUUGUCAUUCUCAUCAGUUUGAUCACAAGUAAUUCAUUAUAAGUGCUGCUCCAGUUUUCUGGAACUCAUAAGAGGUUCACAGAAGGGCACUUGGAAGCAUGAGAGUUAAGUUAGGAUAUGUGCUUCUCUAUGACUGAUGAGUAGAGUCUACUUGAGCUUCAAGGUGACACAUUGAAAGUGCUAACUGAGAGUGCCAGAUGACAGCUUUAGACCAAUAUAAAGCUUUCUACUUGAGUUAAAUUACAUAUUUGUUGCUUUUUGUAUAGGCUCUCUCUCUAUGUAGCUCAAGCUAUCUUCAAAUUCCAAGUUCCCUUUGCCGUAAUUCCCAUGGCUGAAAUUGCAAAUGGUGACCAUGUACUUUUAAGUUACUUGGAACGGGCUUCCUUUUGGGCCACCAACCCUCUCCAAAAUUAUGACAUGGAUACAUUAUUAGUUAUGAAUUCUCAGCCUUAUGCUUGUUUCUUGGUAGCUCUUAUAACUUAACCUGUUUCUCUAUAUCUACAUUUUGCUCUGGGUGUUUUUUUUUUUUUUUUUUUUCUUUCUUUCCUUGUAUAUGUCCAGCUCUGUGUCUGUCUAUUUGCCAUCUAGCUUGUUGGCUGGCUAGUUCUGGGUGUCUCACUCUUUCUCUCUUGUUCUCUCCCUCUUUAGUUUUUGAGCCUAGAUUCCUCCUCUGACUUAUUCUUUUUGCACACAAGCCCCACCUAUUUCUCAACUGCCUAGCUAUUGGCUGGUCAGCUUUUUAUUAGACCAAAAAUGUGCCUUAGACAGGCAAGGUGAAAGAGAAACACAGCUCUACAUAAUUAAAGAAAUUCAGCAUAAACAAAUGUAAUAUACCUUUACAUAGCUAUAUUAAGCAACAUAAACAAAUGCAAAACAUCUUUAAAUGGUUAAAAUAGUAUUCCACAAUAAGUAAUUGUUGCAUUUUUCUUCUUAAAGAACUCUGGAGUUUAUAUAAUAAAUAAACCUUUCUCUGAGUAAAUGAUGUUUGGAUGAGGGCGAUCAAGAAAUAUUUGAAUAAAAGAAGUAACCUAUAUUAGAAUAUAAAAUAUCUCACAAACACUCUUAUAUGAAUAUCUGAGGCUUAAGAUCUUGGAAUGUUUUGGAUCAGGCUUGAACUCCAGGAACCAGCACUGUUGAUGAACCUUCAAGCCUGGGCAUGGGUUAAGGAGUUCUUGAGCCAGGUCCUACCAUUUCAGGAAUAAUCACUUUCUCUUACAGCUGAGACUCAGGACACAUUCUACAAGUCAACAAUGUAAGUGCUGAGAAAUAUCUGAGAGUGUCCUUGGAGAGGAAUCACCCUUGAAAGUUUCCUUGAUCUGACAGAGAAUAUUUUGCCUCCUGUGGUCUAGACUUGUAUCCCUAAAUAUGGAUAUCAUUAUUUUUGUACAAUUGCAUAUGUGUUUUCAAUGUACUGUGAUCCUCCUCAUCCUGCACUAACCAUGUUUUGCUGCCCAUCCUGAGAAUUUAAUUAGGGCUCUUGUAUGAGCAUAGUAAGGAGGCUAUUUGCUAGAACAUUUGCAACUACCAGUGACUGUAGCAAUAAAGAAAAUGACACCAUUCCCUCAAACAGCACUCCAUGCUAAUAGCUCCUGAGUUAUGGUCCAGGUUUCACAAGCUACUUCUUCAUUCUUGAUGGGAUUCCAUGUACCUCAUCUUGUUCAGAUCUCAUCUAGGCAAGUACAGCUGAUGUGAGUAAGUGGUAGCAAGAGUGUGCCAUAGAUAGAAGAUAGUCUCUCACAGGACUUGCAUUCUUUCUCCAUCUUCUGUGAUGAUCUCUGGAAUUGCUGGGGGUUGAUACAGAUGUUCUCUUUAAGGCUGAGCACUCAAAAGUUACUUAUUCUCAGCAGUUUGACUAGUUACCAGUUUCCAUUAACAACUCACUUAAAACUUUAUUUAUUAGAUCUGUGUUAACUUGAAUAUCAUGACUAAUCAACAAAAAUUAAAGGAAUAACAUAUUUCUGAAAUAGACGUUACACCAUACCAUUAAAUGAAACGUCUAAAAUGAAAUGGCAGUGACUUCAUAAGAACCCCAAAAUAGGAGCUUGGUAUUACUUAGAUUUGAUGUUUGUCUGUCCAUGUCUUCUAAAGAGUUAACAUCUGGACCAUACAUGCUAAUAAAAUAAAGAAAAUAAUUUUUUGUUUAAGAAUAUAUAACUUAAAACCCUGGCGAUUGUUUUUGGUCAGUUCUUUGCAAUCUGCAAGGUAAUUUUUUUCAAUUUAUUUGGAAUUAGUCAAAUGCACUGUUGAAAAGGCAGAGUGAAUUGAUGCUAAAUAGUUUUUGGAAGAUGUAAUUGUCUGAUGAUUUGUAAAUAGCCAAGCUUAUCAAAAAAGUAAUUUAAAUGUUAUGCUGACAAUUUUGCUCAGUUUGGUGUUCUCUGUAAACUGGGGAAUCCAAUUUUUUGCCCCCAUUAGCAUGAGCAUUAUCUUUGCUUGACUAAAUUAUUUGAAGACCUAAGGCUGUCCAGAGUUUUGGAGUCUGAACUUUUAAUAAUUUAUCACCUAUAAUAAACAUCACUCAAAAGAUGAUAAUGUAAAAGUGUGUUUUAAUAAGCAAAUUUGAGGCAUUUUUUUUACUGAUUGGAAUGUUUUCGAAAUACAUGCUAUUACUGUCAAUCUUGGGAGCAAAUAUGGGUUUGUGAGUCUUUGAGCAAUUUGCUACAUUUCCACCCUUUUGUUAGUGCCAUUUAAUGCUAGCACUCCAAACUUCAAAGUUGCCUAAAAGAUGUUAGUUGUUGGACCCUCUUAAUUAAUUAUUUAACAAUAGUAAAGCAAUACAAGAGUUAUUUACAAGGUAAAAUAUUUGCUAACUUGGUUAAAUGCUUUACUGACAAUAUUUUGUUUCCAAAUCUUCAAUGAAUCUGCAAUAGGCAUUUUUCCCAUAAAUAUAUGUCUGAGUAUCUUCUGGGUGGAAGAAAGAGCAUAAGAGCCAGGUUUCUCAAGGUUGUAUUUCUAGUAAGCCAGCAAGCUUAAAUUCAAGACCUUCUGACUGGCUUCAGGUAUUAACCACAAUGAUACAUUACCAUGAAAAUAUAGAUGAUAAAAUGAGAUAUAUGUUUAUUCUGGACCAACACAUCUUCAGAUGAACCACACACAAAUGAAAUGUCAUUUUUAAUUUGUUUAUGAAUUUGAAAAAGGGGGAAUAGAUUGUUCCCUUGUCCUAAAAUCGCAUCCUCUGAAACCUCUUGGAUGCAAUACUCAUUAAGAAUGAAAUGGUGUUGUAUAGAUAUUUCCUCUUUGAUUAGAACCUUUCAUCUCAGAGGAACACUUGUUAAGGAACAGAUGUUAAUUUGGUGGUCAAACAAAAUUUGGAACUAGGGGCAUGAGGAACAUUCCAUCCUGCUUAGAAGUACCUCAAACUCAGGAAACAAACAACUUAGUAUCUUCAGGAAGCCACUGAAACUGACAAGAUUCACUAGAACUUCUAUUCUGAAACCAAUAAAAAUAUUAAGGAUUUCUGACAGACAUUCUUGGACAAGUUAAGGAGCAUGGAAGGAACAGAGAACAGCCCAGUUUCCUGGAAGAGGCUAGACCAAUUUACAUACCUGGAAAGGACUGUUUCCCACCUAUUGAGUUGCUGGCAUACAAAGAAGUGAGCUUCAGGUUUACAGAUUUUGUGAUGUGUCACCCAUGAAUGGUCUUUGGUGAUGCAGAUGUCUUUGAGUCCUUUCUUAUUCUAUAAGUAACACCUCUUGCAUAGUCCCAUACGUCAUUGGUUUACAAAAUAUGACUUUAGUGCUCUGUCUGUUUUGGUCUGUUCUUGGUUCUGUGUUUGGGGUGAGCAGAAGAUUUUUUAGGUGUCCUCAAGAAUGGCCUCACACAACAGACAGUGAUUUUCAAACCUGCCAAUUUACCUUCAAGUAAUAAGCCAGCAUUCAGUGUUUGUGUAAGCAUCUAAAUCUAGAUUUGUCAUGAUUUCACCACCCAGUGUGAUCAUGCAUCUUGCAGUUUACCCCCAAUUAAAGACUCUAGUCUUGGUAUCCUGCAGAGAGUGGACCAUGAUGGAGCAUUGUAGUGAGUUUCAGAGAAGUCUGAGAGGAGGAGUUCUGAAACAGCAGGAAGGUCACCACGAGAAAUGUCUGGCUGAUAUGUGUGUUACACCUGUAGCAAAUAGUUCUGCUUCUGAAAUCUGUAUAUACUUCAAUUAGAUUUGGUUUGCGUAUCUUCAAAGGGAAGGAAUGCACAGCAAAAAAAGGGACAGCAGGAACUGGAGAUGUAUCAGGCUCACAGCUCUACUGUUUCCUUCUACUGCGUUGAAUAAAAUGAAUCUUUUCAAACAGGUGAAUUUUCUAACAGAAAUGGCCCAAACAGCCUCAGCUCAUUGAAUAGAAAGCACAAUGGUGAUCUAAACCUAUUACUUUCAAUGGAGUCUGUGACAUUUUCUGCCAGCAUAUUGAUUGGCAAGAAAGAGGGAGCCAGAGAGAGAGAACUUUUCCCUGAGCUCAUUGUGUGGAGUCAGUCAUUGUGAUUCUAGUCACAAUGCAAGGAAAAGCACCUAGAAUCAACAGGCCAAAAGCUUUUAUAGCAGCAGUAAUGAGUGAUUUUACCAAACAAAUUUAUACAGUUUUUCAUUAGAAUAAUAUCCCCUCCCUCAACUAUAUAACCAGAAAAAAUAUUAUCAGUUUUCCCUAACUACGCCUAUUUGAGUCCAAAGACUAAGACAAAUAUUUACAGAGAAUUGUUUACACCACCUUUAUAAAAAUAUUAUUGCUUCCAUGAAAUUUUUUUUUAAAUAACCUACAUUUUCAGCUAAAAUACGGUUGAAAUUUAUUUGAACCAUGAUGACUUCUAUGCCUCCAGGUUAGAAAAUGCUGCCGUGUUUUCAUUGUGUUUUUUUCAGUAUUUGUUGUAUUUUGUUGCCAUGUAGUACUCUGAGUUCUGGAGAGACAUGAAAUCCAAUCCUGUCCAGCAUCAUCAGGUGGUGGGUACUGUGCAGUGCUGCAGAGGCUAGCUUCAGUGCUUUCUGUGGCAUAUACCAAAAACAACACAUUUUCCCUGACUGUAGAAAAUUGCUCAUUUGCACAAAAUAAGGAACAUUCAUAACAAAAAUAUUAUCAAUUGUUUUCAAUGAGGUAUUAUUAAGGAUAACAGGUAGGGGCAGGGCUGUGUGGGGACUCUCCUCUUCCUCACAAAGACAACAUCAUGCCAUUUGGGAGGGGGGUAGUGGGGAAGUGGAGCCAUAAAUAUGUCCAGAGACUCAGAGAUGAUGAAAUAGUAUUCUAUUGUAGAGUAUGACUUUAUAAAUACAUGUAUUUCAGCAAUUAUUUCAAAAGUAGAUGCAAGAUUGCACACAAAUCCCUAAUAGGAAGAUAGCUCUUGACUUACUCUUAUUAAAAUUGUCAUUAAAUAAUUUGUUUGGUUUUUAUUGCAAUUUUACCCUUUUCACAAUUUGCCUCUAAUAUUGUAUGCAUUUUUAAACCUAUUGCUUUCAUGUUGUUCACAUUUUAUAACCUUUCCUAUUAUGUACAAACAAACCAACUUCUACAGUUUGUUACUGAGAGUUUUGUAGCAUAUCAACCUACAAAUACCAAUAGGAUUCAUCACUGUUAUGAUUUACUUGGUAAAUGAACAAAGCUACAUUGGUGACUACAGGAUUGACUCCUUACUUUAUGGAGCUCACUGAAUAGUCAAUAUUACUGCUAUAUUUUAUUUCUAAUAUGGUACACCAUCAACAUUUGUUUCUAAGGUAAAAGUUCAUAAAAACUACCCUUAAAGUAAUUUAACUAAAGUAUGUUCUGAAUUAAGGAAUUCUUAUAGAUAAUUCUGGACAUGUUUUCUACUGUAGCAAAUGGUCUUGGGAUACAGGGAACACAAACUGAAAGCAGUUCCUUUGUGUUUUGAUCUACACAGAAAAGUGCACUUUUAUUUAAGAUAGCUAUAAUCCCAGUAAGGAUGAAACUGGGUACAGGUCAGAUGAAAGCCACCAACUUGUUCCAUAAUGUGAUUAAAUUUCCUGUGAAAGGGACAUUUUGACAUAGGUAAGAUACACAAACAUUAGUCUGAUUGUUGGCAAAACUAGCUCAUAAUGUACAAUUUAAUAUCCUCAACCAGCCUUUUAAUGCCACUAUAGUCUCAAAUCUAUAGCAACCACCAGAGAGACAGAUCUCAUUAUUAAAUUAAAUAAUAAUGUAAAAGUAAAAGAUUUUAAGACUACCCACAAUUAGAAGUCAAAACAGAUACUAAGAAAAAGUCUGAAUUUAAUCACAAAAGUGCCCAAAAGCUUUGCAGCCCAGUUGAUUUCCUCAUCCAGCCACUAAUGCUGGACACAGAACUGCAGUAUUUCCUGUGCUCCCUGCUGGAAUUUGCUUUUGAUUUGGACAAAUGGUUUCAUUCUACUUAACAGUUUUUCUCAUUUUAGACUUAUGUUUGCCAACAUAUCGUGAAACUAUGUAACAAGUCUCUGAUUUUGUAGACUCUCAGAGUUAAGAGAUUUGAUGUUCUAAAAUGUUGCAAUUAAUAAAGAUUAAAUGCACUAAUUUAUUACUUUAAAUUUAGACUAAAUGGACUAUAUUAUGACACAAUCAUGUGCCUAUUCAAAUAAGGAGUUAUGGCUUAAAUGUGAUGUAUGUGGGUAUCUGGUUCAUUAGAGGUAGAGUUGUGAUGGUUAGUGUUGUCAACUUGGCAGAACCUAGAAUCAUCUUAGUGACCGGCCUUAGCAUGUGCCUGUUACACAUUAUUUGGAUUACAUUACAUGUAAAGAUGUUCCUUAUUUUACAGAGUCUACAAAAUGAAUUAAUCAUGCCAUGCAUUUUGUAACUGUGAAUAUGAUAUUUUCAUAUGCUAUCAUGAAAAACAGUAUCAAGAAUUGAGAACUAAAAUAAACAUAUUGUCCACUAUGUUAAUUUGUUAGAAUACUUUAUCACAACAGAAAAAGAAAUUAAUAACUCUUCAAAAUCUUAAAAAUAACAAAAGUGAAUUCUAUAGUUGGCAGAUUUCUGAAUUGCUUCUGUAAUGAGUUUCCUGUGAUCCUCUUCAAUUAGACAGGGCAUGGCUUGUGAAUAAGAUGUAGUAGUCAUGUAUAUAUUAUUUAUACAGAGAUGCUAGCAAAGCCUUGUAGUUUGUCUCUAAUUCAAAGCUCUUGAAAGUAGUAAGAAGGAGGAGCUCCUAGACAUCCUUGUGAAGCAGAUGUAGUCACUAGGUUGUCACUUUGCAAUCUUUUGCUGAUGUCAGUAUAGUUAACAAUAUUAUGAGAAAUAACAAGGUGUUAGGGCUGGCAAAUUUGAGGAUUUUGUGGUUCCUAUUUCCUUAUAAAAUUAAAGUGAUUUUUCAGGAGAUAUCCAUGUGCUAGUGCCUGGUGGACUUCAGAACUUCUCUUAAGUAGUGAGUUAGUUCAGGGUUCUUCAGGCCAGAUUAGCCCCAUCUAUAUCCCUAUAUAUUGCAGUUUUAUUUUCAGGAGCUUCAGCAUAUCUAAUAUAUUCCUAGGGUUAACCAUUUUAAAUAAAAUGGUCAGAAUCUCUCUUUUAAUUUAAAGCAUACAGAAUACAUCACCAACUCAGAAAGUCUGCUUGCAGAAUUGCAGUCAAACUCAGGAAUCAUUAAUUUACUUCCUAGUAUAUUACUCUUUGCAGGAAGAAAGUGGCUCUACAUUUCAAAGUCAAAUCAGAUUUAUUAGUCCAGUACUUAGUAGACUAAUUUAUGGGACUUAUGUCCAGCCAUACAUGUCCCUUAAGUGAACAACUAGAAAUCCAAAGGCAUCAUAGAUAAGGUUUUUGCAUCAUUUGGUACAUACAAGUACUCUUGUGCUUCCAUUUCAUUGUACAGUGACUCUGUUCUUCCUGUCUCAUCCCCAAAGACUGAGACUAUUGAAUGACUAAAAAGAAGACUACAGGCAUGGUAGAAGUUUGUAAAGUUCUCUCUCUUUCUUCUGGCAUCCACUACACUGAGUGCCUACUGCUCACUUCCACAUCUUUGAUAAAAUUCAUUCAAGUUUUAUGACAAUGGGAACAGCAUAAAGAAACAAUUCCCUUUUAAGGAACUAUGUUCCAUAUUAAAUCUUAUUGUAAUUCUUCUUUUAUUAAACUAGAAUCAAAGCGUCUCUGUGAACUGAACAACAGAAGCUACAUACCCAUCACAUGCAUGUCGUAUCACAUAUAUCAAACUAACAGUAUGAACUUCCUCAACUUAGUCUUAUGUGCAACACCUAUGCUUCCUUUGCUGAGGUGUAGCAAGGAGAACUUCUGAGAAACCUCUGCCAGUUUAUAUACUCCAGUUUAGAUGGGUAGUUGUUAAAGACAAGCAUAAUAUUUUGCUUUGUGGUGAGCAAAACAGAAAUGAGCAAAGUAUGAAUUAAGUGAUCAUUUUCAUAAACCAAGGUGGUUCAUAUCUUGUUUACAGAGAAUUAUUUGCUAGUUGCUUGCUCUACAAUAUAAUCAAUGGCAUUUGGUGAAAGAAGAUAGGGUCUGAGUAGUUAAAAGUGUUUGCUGCUCUUCCUGGGACCAGAAAUUGGCUCUAAACAACCUUGUUGGGUGGCUCUAAUUCCAGAUCCAGGGACCUGACUUCCUUUACAGGUAUUUACACUCAUGAGUACACAAACCCACAUAUACUUAUAAUUAAAGAUAAAUGGAACAAAUCAUUUGAGAAAAUGAAAUAGUCUAAAUCUAGACAUGUUUUUGUUUUUGAAGUUGGAUGGAAUGGCUUUUAUUAGCAGCAAAUAUAGCACUGGAAAGAGGAAAGUACACAUGACCAUGUACUGAGAUCAUUCCCAAACUACCUCUAUUUUAGUUUAUAAAAUCUGUGAAAUUUAACAUCUUCAUAAUAAUUAUAGUGUUAGAUAUGGGAACCCAAGUAGAGGGGUGACUUAAUUCUCUGUGAAUUUCUAAAAUCUUUAUUCUGGG